rnacentral:lncRNA from 1 species
AACAGCUCGAUUCCCCCCCUCUCUCCAGAAGGGCAAGUUGACCCCCAGCCCCAAUUAAACUUCAAACAGAGGUUAAUCCAACAUUUGCUGGAUUUGAGCUUAAUUUCAUCGAAUUAAUGACUGAUAAGCCUACUUUAAAAGAAAAAAAUCAACAAAGAUUAUGCAUAUUUACAUAUAUGAUUUCACAAGUAAAUAAAAUCAACACCAUUCAUCCAGUCCAACCGCAUUGAUGUUUGAAUCUUCUACUCCUAUCAAAGUUAGUUCAGUCAAAUUUAAGAUCUUUCAAGUUCCUAAGAAACUUAAAUCAGAAAACUGAGGCAGACUAACAUACAACUGACCGUAAUUUCAAAAUAUUCAUGUUAAUAUACAAUAAAAAUAAAAUAUACCUUCCAAGAAUACCGUGAACCAUAAUAACCAGAUGAUCAACAGAAGAAUCAUCAGGCUGUUUACAGCUAUACACAUCCUCCCCUCCAUCCUCCGUUCCCGAUGAAAACACAAAGCCUUCUUUUCCUUCGUUUUCCAUUUCUUCACCUUCGAUUAACUAAAUUAAUUUAUUCUAAUUUAUUAAUAUUAACUUCAUCGACUUCCCAUUUACUCAAAAACUAUACGAAAUUCAAAACAAAAAAGGAAUAAUUUAAUAUUACAAUUUAUGAAAUCAAAUUUAUUUUGUAUCAAAUUGGAGUUAUGAGAUAAUGAGCGUAGAGUGGCUGAAAGAUGAUCAGAAUAGAAAGAGAGAGAGAGCUGUGACGAGAGUGUGUGAACUUGGCAAUACAUGAAUACCUUUUCAACGUUUGUUGUACCUUUGCUUUUACAGUUUGUACAGUGGCGAAUUUUAUGCAUGCGCAGAAUCGGGUCGAGUUUGGAAUUUGGACCAGUUCAUGGGUCGGCUAGUGUUGUCGGAUAAUGUAAUGUUAUCCAUAAUUUUCCAAGAAGAAAAUAAAGAAAAAGGAGGUAAGAAAUUGGUUUAGCG